rnacentral:rRNA from 1 species
AUUGGUUUCUCCCUUCUGACGAACCAAGAUGUCAUUAAUUUGGUGUCUUGGGGAAUCAGGACCGUUACUUUGAAAAAAUUAGAGUGUUUAAAGCAGGCUCGCGCUUGAAUACAUUAGCAUGGAAUAAUGAAAUAGGACGUUUGAUUCUAUUUUGUUGGUUUCUAGGAUCGACGUAAUGAUUAAUAGGGAUAGUUGGGGGCAUUAGUAUUCAAUUGUCAGAGGUGAAAUUCUUGGAUCUAUUGAAGACUAACUACUGCGAAAGCAUUUGCCAAGGAUGUUUUCAUUAAUCAAGAACGAAAGUUAGGGGAUCGAAGACGAUCAGAUACCGUCGUAGUCUUAACCAUAAACUAUGCCGACUAGGGAUCGGAUGAUGUUAAUUUUUUAAUGACUCAUUCGGUGCCUUACG